rnacentral:rRNA from 1 species
AUUGAACGCUGGCGGCAGGCCUAACACAUGCAAGUCGAGCGGUUGAGGGGAGGUUUCUCCUGGAUUCUGCGUCGGACGGGUGAGUGAUGCCUAUGAAUCUGCUUGGUGGUGGGGGAUAACGUCCGUAAACGGGGGCUGAUACCGCAUCAUACCUGUGGGAGUCGGUGGGGGUCUUUCGGACCGCACGCUAUCCGUUAAUACUAGGUCGGAUUGGCUAGUUGGUGGGGUAAAGGGCUGCCAAGGCGACGAUCCGUAACUGGUCUGAGAGGAUGUUCAGCCACACUGGAACUGAGACACGGUCCAGACUCCUACGGGAGGCAGCAGUGGGGAAUAUUGGCCAAUGGGCGAAAGCCUGAUCCAGCCAUGCCGCGUGUGUGAAGAAGGUCUUCGGAUUGUAAAGCACUUUAAGUUGGGAGGAAGGGCAGUAAGUUAAUACCUUGCUGUUUUGACGUUACCAAAAGAAUAAGCACCGGCUAACUACGUG